AGCUCCCGGCAAUGGCCAGAGACACCUUGGUGGUGGUGGUGUUCUAUCAGCCAGGGGCAUAGCAGAUGGCAAUCCUUUGUUCAUCCUAGCUUGAUGCCUGGCUUGGUGGCCAAAGCCAUUUCAUGCUUAGGGCACGUUA